UCCCGGGGCCCUCCCCGAGGUCUGUCGACGAGGGCAAGGGAGUUGGCCACCGCGGGCUGGGUUUUGAGUUUUGGUUUCGUGAGCUGGUGACACUGUGAAAGGCGCACCUGGGGAGCCUGGGAGAGGCGAGGGGCCUCUUACCGUUACCAGGAAGCAGCGCUGGGCCGCCCGCGCCGCCCAAUGGAACCGUCUGGGGACCUCGAAAGACACCGACGUCUGAACCCGACCUCCAGAGACUGAUUUGACGGGUCCGAAGUGAGACUCGGACGUUGGAAAACUCACUCGACAGAGAUGGAGAUAAGAAAAGCCGGUACCCGACAGGGUGAUUAUGAAGAUUCCAGGAGAGGACGUCUAAGCACCUGGGCCACAGGUGCUCAACGAGCUACCAGAACCUGCAGGUCCCCCAUCUUGGUAGAAACUACACUUUGCUUUCAGGAGCAACCACGAGGGACCUCCUAAAGGGGCCCACCAAGUUUCCCCAGAGAGCCUGAAGCAGAUAGGGUGGCCUCAGAGCGAAAUUUGAAGGGGAUGAAAAAAUACUGAAAUAAGGUUUAAGUUGAGAAGUUUCUGGGCCUGCAACUGCUUAUUAGAAUGAAUGUGUUUUUCCACUUUGUGCUUCAGGCAGAUUCUAAACCCAGAUCAAGGCCCUGGGAAUGACGAAGUUUGUGGCCUGAUGGAACCCCCAAUCCCAGAGGACCUGGCCUGGAGAGACAGGGCUUCUGAAAUGCAGCCCUCAGACCCCAGGCAUCUGGACCUUUCCGUGGGAAACACCCAUCAGCAAUGCCAGGAAGACACAUGCACUGACCCCCUGAACAACUGGGGGCUGUUUGGGUGUGCUGCGUUCAGCCACACCUGCAGACAGGGAAAGAGAGGCAUGUUGGAGGGUUGAUAUUUCCCCAGCAGCCCUCUCUUCGCUAUUUAAAGAGAAAUUGCCAUGGAACUGGAGUGUGGUUCCCAGUGUGGUUGCUUCCUUUCCCUGCCACACCGCCAAACUCCUCUCUGCAUCCCCACUGCUCUUCGUGAGGCCUGGCUCUUCAUGAGGACCUUUGUUUAGGAUACAUGACCUCCCCUGGGGCCCUGAGCAACUUCUCGGACCUUCUUUAAGCCCUGAGUCUACACUAAGUGGAAGUUCAAAUUUCUAGGGCAACAUUCCAGGUUAUUAUGAAAAACAUUGAUAAGGAAGGAAAGAAAAUACCUAUGCAGUUCAGUCUGGCCGGCCCAUUCUCAGAUCUGAUCCCUGAUGCCAGCAGCCUUGGGGUGGGUAGCUCCCACCCAUCCCUAGGAAGGACGAAAACAAAAAACAAAGACUCAGGCCACGGGAAUAUGGAGUUGCAUAGAGCUCCAGAAUGGAAACUGAGACCCCCAGAGAUGAAGUUGUGUACUGAAGAUGAUGCAGUGAGAGACAGCAGACAAGACACACUGACCCGACCCUGCCACGAUCGGUGUUUUCUUAUUGCUGUUUGGUUGUUUUUGAUUGAACCCCAGAGCACUUUGC